AUGUCAGUUGGCUUGUUAGGGUUCACAUUGAGGAAUUUUCACGAGAACUCAUUCCUCUCAUAUCUUCACGGUGCCGCAAACCCUCAACCUUAUUCUUCUCCAAACUCUCUCAGUCUCACACCCUCACUUACCUUUUUGUCGGCUUCUUUGACUCGCCUUUUUCUUUGUCGACAAACUUUAACUCAGUGCCAUGGCCGACUAACACAUACCACCGCAGAUGUUUGCAUCUUAUCCUCCUCGCAUCUUUGCGGAUUUUUGAACAACAACACACAUGCCACAGACUCGCGUAGCUUGGAUUUUCAUGCUUCAGGAUGUAUAGAAAUGCAGGAAUGA